GAUGAACGCUAGCGGCAGGCCUAACACAUGCAAGUCGAGGGGUAUUGUAGCAAUACAAGAGACCGGCGCACGGGUGCGUAACGCGUAUGCAACCUACCUAUCACACGUGGAUAGCUCCCGGAAACGGGGAUUAAUACACGAUGGCGCAUAGAUUACGCAUGUAAUUUAUAGCUAAAGCUGAGGUGGUGAUAGAUGGGCAUGCGUGCCAUUAGCUAGUUGGUGAGGUAACGGCUCACCAAGGCUACGAUGGCUAGGGGUUCUGCAAGGAAUGUCCCCCACACUGGUACUGAGACACGGACCAGACUCCUACGGGAGGCAGCAGUGAGGAAUAUUGGUCAAUGGGCGAGAGCCUGAACCAGCCAUGCCGCGUGCAGGAUUAAGGCCCUAUGGGUCGUAAACUGCUUUUGAAUGGGAAUAAUGUGAGGCACGUGUGCUUUAUUGCAGGUACCAUUCGAAUAAGGAUCGGCUAACUCCGUGCCAGCAGCCGCGGUAAUACGGAG
rnacentral:rRNA from 1 species